CCACAAAGUGCUAAAGUCAGUUGUGAAUUUUAUUAAAAAUAAGCACUAUGCCUGGGUUUCAUAAAAUUUAUACAUGAAUAUGUACAGACACAAAUAAAAUAAUAUUAAAAAUAAAAAUCACGCUUGCUUUCACGUGGCAGUGGUCCUGGCACCCCACAUACAUAAUGCUAACUUUUCCUUUAAAGAAAUUGCUUGGCCCAAGGAGACCACAGUUAGAGAUCACCGAACCACUAAUAAAGCUGUAGCCCGUUGCCUGCAACAUUUUCAACUCAGGUCUCAAAAAUAUAUAAAUAAUUUAAUUACAAAACCCAACUUUUUUUUUUUUUUAUCUUUUGGCACAGUGAAGCAUUGGUCAAUAGCAGAGAAAUGACUGAAGAUUCUCUGACACCUCUCUCACACUCAGUCAUGCCUGUAAAUGCCACAUACUUACAUGGAGCGAGGGCCAUUAAACCCGGAACAGUAGUCAUAUCAUUUAUCAUAUGGAAUGUUUCCCUGAUUUUUUUUUAAGGGACAAGUCAAUGGAGGGUGCGACAAAAAUAGGAGUAAGGGGGAGUAAGAAGAUAGGCAAAGUCUUUGUGAAGUGAGGGAGGGACAGGCUUGGUCAAGAACCUAAAGCAAUUAUGGAGAAUUGGUUUGGUCUUCUGUAAAGUCACAAAAGAAAAACGAAAAUAUUCUGAAUUAAAUUAAAACACUCUGUCAAAAAUACUUUAGCUUUAAGGCACGUUUGAUGGAGAUUUUUUUUUAACGUCUUUUUUUGUCUGGCUAGAAAAUGCAAAGCCCUGGCCUGCGUUUCCUGCCUCCCCGACGGCGCCCACCCUUGCCUGGCUCCGCGGCGCUGCUCAGGCCAGGAGCGUCUCCACUGGGUAAGGCAGGUGCGGGCCGGGGCCACAGGACGAGGACGCCUGCAGGGCCGCGGGCAGCCGCAGGGGGCAGUACAGGUGCGAGCCGCCGCCGGCCGCCGGGCCUCGAAAUGGCUUGGUUGGGGCCGAGGCGGAGAGGGGCGCGAGCAGGAGAUUCUGAACACUUGGGAAGAAUCCUGCAGAGAUUCAAGGUGGGCGUGAGAGGAUGGAUAAAACCUAGGUCCUUAGCCUUGCUAACCAUUUGUCUGAAGCCACGACUUACUGGACAGAAGGACCAUGUAGCCACUGAGGCUUGAAGAAGCUGGCGGUGGAGGCUGAACAAUAUACCUGUAUUUUUAUUUCUGUGAAACUAUUCUUGUCCUCCCUUCUCUUUCCUUGAAAAACACAUAUAUGCUCAUCCACUCCCUCCCUGCCCUGCCACACACAGUAGAGAAAAGGAGGGAUAGCUGCUCAAAUUGUUUGAGCUUAAUUCAACAGAAUUAAAUUAAUUCUAC
rnacentral:lncRNA from 1 species